rnacentral:misc_RNA from 1 species
UUUUAGUGAACAUAUUAUAUUUUAUUGUUAAAGCUCUGCCACUGUAGGUGUCUGAAUUCUGAACUCCUGUUUAUAUUAUUAGGAGUUAUUUGUCAACUAUAUUGGAGUUGCAUUUACAUGUCUGUUUGAAGUGUACAUUUAUUUCAAAAGUUGUACCUUGAAUGUGUAUGAUGUGUUCAAUAUUCUAAGUGUUGAUGCUGGAACAUAUUUUAUAUAGAGAGCUCAGUCAUGUUUUACCUAGAACCAGAAUGGUCACUGAUUCGGAUGUCCACCUAAUGUGUCUGGUAUUCAAACCCAAUAAAAACCAAUUACCCAGUAAGUUUGACCACGAACUGGCCAAACAGGUCUCUAGAGGUGUUUAGUCCAGUUUUCCUGACUGCAUGGGUCACGUGGCAUGUUGAGGUUAUGCCAUGCUGACAUCAGCAAGGGUUAACCCUAGUUAAACCUCUGAUGCUUAAUCCUUUCCCUUCUCCAAUUAUAUCAAGAUAGUUUUCAUGGCAUACGAUGCAGUUAAUAAAGGGAGAAAACUACUUCCAUUGUGUAGGUAAACAAUUUUUCUUUUCAAAAAUAGUCUUAAGAAUAGCAAUAUUAAUGUACAAUCAGAACAAUAUUUGCUUAAACAUUUUCAUAAUAUUAUACCACUUAUAAUUUGUGUGCAACAAUAAUUUUAGUACAAAAUUGAAAUUGGUUUCAGUGUAAAUGAUAUGGUUAUUAUUUUACAAUUAAUAGAUAAUGUUUUGUCAUUUAAUUGUGUCAGUAUAAUUGUUUUAUCAUGAAAA